rnacentral:lncRNA from 1 species
GAGUGUGUGUCCUUAGCCAACCUGUUCAGCAUGAAGCUCCUGCCCCAACCCCCUCCUUCCAGGUGCCCGGCCCAGUCUCUGCCAGGGGCUGAGGUGCCCAGGGUGUCAGGACGGCCACCCUGAAGGCCCUACCCCUUUAUAGGAAAUAAAGUCUUCUUUCCAAAUUUAUAGAUGUGGGAUUUGUUCAGUGGACAUAGCUCACCCGGGGCAUUUUAGGAAUUUACCCAAAAGACAUAAAAGUCUGCGUUUACAGAAAGAAUAGACCAAAAUGCUAACAGCAGCUUUAUUCAUAGUAGUAAGAACUAAAAUCCACCCACAUGGGCAUCAUCAGAAAAACAGCCAAGCUGUGGCUCUUCAUGACAUGGCUUCAAGUCAGCAAUGAAAAGGAACAAAACUCUCAACCAUGUUCAAGGGAUAUGAACCCUCAGGGACAGGGCCCUCUCUCAAAACAGGCAGGUCCAACCCACGUGUAGCUCGUGGUCCCAUUCCUCUGCAGGCUCCGGAGAGAAAGCGGGAAGCUAGGGUCACAUAACCCACAAGAGUGGACCCUCCCGCUGGGGAAGGGCGGGGAGGACCGGGAACCCACGAGAGUGGACCCUCCUGCUGGGGAAGUUCAGGGAGGACCGGGAACCCACAAGAGUGGACCCUCCCGCUGCGGAAGGGCAGGGAGGACCAGAGGACUCGGGGAUGAUGAAGACGUUCCAGCUCCUGACGCUGGUGAGACUCACGCUGCUGACACCUGUGACAGUGCACGGGUUCACACUUAACUUUUGUGUGUUUCACGUUGUUUUCAUAUUCUGGUACAAGUUUGUUUUAUUUCUCUAGAAAGAAGCAAGGGCUGUCAAUGGUGAUUAAACGUUCCUUCUCAGGUUUGCCUGUGCGUGGGGUAGAGGUGGACCACGCAGACCCUCCCUGCUGUGAGCUCCGUGGAGGGUCAAUGCAGAUGCAGGGAGACUGUGGGGCCCGGUAUCCGUGACGCUGGACAAGGGGGUUCCCGCUCUGGAAGGAGGAGUCAAGGUCUCCAGUGGUGUGGGAUUAGAAUAUGAGGAAUCCGUCUGAGCUCAUUCUCCACAGGAUCCCACGAGGGAAAGCCUGGCUUUUCCCUGUGCAGACGCUAGGCCUCUACAGGUUCCAGAAGGUUCCUCUGCUCCUCUGAGAGGGCAGGGCACUUGCACAGGGAACAGGCAACCGAAGGCAGCCACAGCCCUACUGGAACCGGGGUUUCUCUGCCUCCUGGGAAGAGGUCAGUGGAUGGGUUGGGGAGGGGGACAGGCGGCCUUCCUGUGGGAGUCGCAGAGCCUGGGGCCUCCCCUCCUUGGAGGCGACCAGACACCUUCCCUAACUGGAGAAAAUUCUGAACCCCAGAACUGGAAAGGUCAAAACUGAAACAAAAUCGCCCCUUGUUUUGCAA